UUACGGCCACAUCACGUUGAAACACCGGUUCCCGUACGAUCACUGUAGUUAAGCAACGUCUAACCUAUUCAGUACCUAAAUGGGUGACCGUUUGGGAAUGCCAGGCGCUGUAAG